rnacentral:rRNA from 1 species
AGUGAACGCUGGCGGUAGGCCUAACACAUGCAAGUCGAACGGCAGCACAGUAAGAGCUUGCUCUUACGGGUGGCGAGUGGCGGACGGGUGAGGAAUACAUCGGAAUCUACUUUUUCGUGGGGGAUAACGUAGGGAAACUUACGCUAAUACCGCAUACGACCUACGGGUGAAAGCAGGGGAUCUUCGGACCUUGCGCGAUUGAAUGAGCCGAUGUCGGAUUAGGUAGUUGGCGGGGUAAAGGCCCACCAAGGCGACGAUCCGUAGCUGGUGUGAGAGGAUGAUCAGCCACACUGGAACGGAGACACGGUCCAGACUCCUACGGGAGGCAGCAGUGGGGAAUAUUGGACAAUGGGCGCAAGCCUGAUCCAGCCAUACCGCGUGGGUGAAGAAGGCCUUCGGGUUGUAAAGCCCUUUUGUUGGGAAAGAAAAGCAGCAGGUUAAUACCCCGCUGUUCUGACGGUACCCAAAGAAUAAGCACCGGCUAACUUCGUG